rnacentral:lncRNA from 1 species
ACAGGUCAUGGCAAGUGAGGGUUGCCCUCGCUGCCAUGGGCGAGGCUGCUGCCAGAUCUGUUGACCACGUACAGCUGAAUUUAAGGGAGGCCAUUACCGCACUAGCGAGCUUAGGCGAGAAGAAAACAGUCUCGUCCUCUCUGACUAGACGAGGUCGCGACUGAAAUUACUGGCGUUCUCUGAAAUGAAACGUCGUUAUUUCUUUGGAAACAUUGACAACCCUUCAAGCCCAAACCCCCGAUUUCUUUGGCAGUCCCAGGACAAGAAAAACGUCUCCCUCGAGAAUCUCUUCCAAAGGUAUGGUUUUUCUCUAUCCCAGUCGCCUGAUUUGCUCACGAAGAAUCGAUUCUUGCUCAAUUCUAGCUUGCACGACACUAAAAGAUCACUAAACAUUUUGUCCUCGCUCAAGAUACCCAACGAAUUGGUAAUCUCUAUGACGAGUCAGUGUCCUGGGGCAAGGGUUGGCCUCCCUAGCGCUCAACCUCGGCCAUGCGAGGCCAACCAUCGUUGGCCAUGGCCGACACAGCCAUGGAAGAAGAAGAAAGAAAGAAAUAGAAAAAAUUAAGAAAAGUAUUUUAAAAUGUCCAUGUCACCAUCCAUUGUGCCACAUAGGACGAUUGACGUCCAUGUUAGCAAUCUCUAACCUAAAUUAGCCAGAUGAAUUUAAUUGAUAUUAAUGUGAAAAAGUUUAUGACUAAAUUGAUGCAAUUAAAAAAUUUAUGACUAAAUUGAUACCAAUGUAAUAGGUUUAAGAUUUUUUUGAUACCUUUCCCAAAAAAUUUCUAAGAGUUAGUAAAUUUAAGCGGAUCGUAGAAAAAUAGACAAAUAAAUUUCGUUUAAAGAUAUUAAAAAAAAUGUGGUAAUUUACGAACUAUCAGAAAGCUCGUAAUUUCAUGAAAGUGUUGUUAAAUUAUCAAUAGUUUAUUCAAAAUUUAUAACUAUUAGAUAAUUGACGUGUAUCGACUCUUUAAAAAAUCUAUCAAUACAAAAAAAAUAUUCAUUUUUUGCGAACGGAACGAGGAUCGUCCAAGCCAAAGAAAUGAAUUGACUCGACAAGUCCGAUUCCAUAGAAAUGAUAACACUUGGUAAUUGAAACAGAACCUAAGAAUUCGAGAAUCAUAAAGGAAACUUUGUCAUGUAUACCAAUAAUCAUGCGUGUAGAUUUUUUUUUUUCUAUUUUAAGCAAUCUUUAUAUUUACAAGUGAAGAUUAGCUUCUUGCACAAAAGAGGGACUCCACUCUACUUACCCAUCAUUAAAGUGCCACCCGGACAAGCUACCAGCAUCAAAAAGAGCUUUCUUCCAUUGCUUCACCUUUUUCGAGUCCUUCCCAAACUUGGACUCAUGCUUGGCUAGAGCUUUCCCAUAACUCAUGUUGCCCCGUCUCACUUCUCUUGGGUCUACUUUAUAAAACACCGGUAGCACUGUGAGGUCCUUUUGCUUCUUGCACUCCAUGAUCUUCAUCACCUCUUCCAAGCACCACUGUGAGGAAGCGUAAUCCUUAGAGAAAAUGAUGAUUGCAACACAUGAUUCUUCAAUUGCCUUCAUGAGCAUCGGCAAUGUUUGGUCUCCCUUCCUCAGCUCCUCGCUAUCAACGAAAGCAUAUAUUCCAUUAUGAUAUAAAGCUUUGUAGAGAUGACCAAGGAAAGUGUUACGCAGGUCUGUGCCUCUAAAACUCAAGAAGACCUCAUAAUUACUUUUGGGUUUUGAUGAAGAAGCCAUUGGAUGAUCGAGAUUAGCAAUCGGAAAUGGCUUUUCAUCUAUUUAGUCUUCACUUUUCUUUCUCUUAUAUGGAAAAUGAAGAAUCGGCGAAACGUGACCACGAGGUUUCUUUAUAUGAAGGGUUGACGUUGAUAUAUGCUACAAUGUGGUUUAUGAUAUGAUGCAUACUAUGCGUUGCAUUGAUUUAUAAAGAGUGCAUGGAAUAUUCAUGUUAUUUGAUAAUAUUUACUAGUAUGAUUUGCAUAAUGCAUAUCGUGGA